UAAUACGUAGGAGGCGAGCGUUAUCCGGAUUCAUUGGGCGUAAAGGGCGCGCAGGCGGCCUGUUAAGUCAGUUGUGAAAUCUCCCGGCUCAACCGGGAGGGGUCAACUUGAAACUGACGGGCUUGAGAGCAGCAGAGGGAGGUGGAAUUCCCGGUGUAGCGGUGAAAUGCGUAGAGAUCGGGAGGAACACCAGUGGCGAAGGCGGCCUCCUGGGCUGUUUCUGACGCUGAGGCGCGAAAGCGUGGGGAGCAAACAGGAUUAGAUACCCUGGUAGUCCACGCUGUAAACGAUGGACACUAGGUAUGGGGAGUAUCGACCCUCUCCGUGCCGAAGUUAACGCUAUAAGUGUCCCGCCUGGGGAGUACGACCGCAAGGCUA
rnacentral:rRNA from 1 species